rnacentral:rRNA from 1 species
CGCGUAGGCGGUUUUGUAAGUCGAAUGUGAAAGCCCCGGGCUUAACCUGGGAAUUGCGUUCGAUACUGCGAAACUAGAGUACGGUAGAGGGAAGUGGAAUUCCGGGUGUAGCGGUGAAAUGCGUAGAUAUCCGGAGGAACACCAGUGGCGAAGGCGACUUCCUGGGCCAGUACUGACGCUGAGGUGCGAAAGCGUGGAGAGCAAACA